AGUGAACGCUGGCGGUAGGCCUAACACAUGCAAGUCGAACGGCAGCACAGUAAGAGCUUGCUCUUACGGGUGGCGAGUGGCGGACGGGUGAGGAAUACAUCGGAAUCUACCUUUUCGUGGGGGAUAACGUAGGGAAACUUACGCUAAUACCGCAUACGACCUACGGGUGAAAGCAGGGGAUCUUCGGACCUUGCGCGAUUGAAUGAGCCGAUGUCGGAUUAGCUAGUUGGCGGGGUAAAGGCCCACCAAGGCGACGAUCCGUAGCUGGUCUGAGAGGAUGGUCAGCCACACUGGAACUGAGACACGGUCCAGACUCCUACGGGAGGCAGCAGUGGGGAAUAUUGGACAAUGGGCGCAAGCCUGAUCCAGCCAUACCGCGUGGGUGAAGAAGGCCUUCGGGUUGUAAAGCCCUUUUGUUGGGAAAGAAAAGCAGCAGGUUAAUACCCCGCUGUUCUGACGGUACCCAAAGAAUAAGCACCGGCUAACUUCGUG
rnacentral:rRNA from 1 species